rnacentral:lncRNA from 1 species
CCCCCGGGGCCCUCAGAUCCGGGCUUCCCCUUCCCCUGGGCCUCCAUACCCUCAGGUUUGGCCCCCGGGCCCUCAGGUCACGGCCUCCCCUUGCCCUGGGCCUCCAAACCCUCAGAGCCGGCUCCCGGGGCCCACAGGUCCCGGCCUCCCCUUCUCCUGGGCCUCCAAACCCACAGGCUUAGCCCCCGGGGCCCUCAGAUCCGGGCCUCCCCUUCCCCUGGGCCUCCAUACCCUCAGGUUUGGCCCCCGGGCCCUCAGGUCCCAGCCUCCCCUUCCCCUGGGCCUCCAAACCCUCAGAGCCGGCUCCCGGGGCCCACAGGUCCCGGCCUCCCCUUCCCCUGGCCCUCCAAACCCACAGGCUUAGCCCCCGGGGCCCUCAGACCCAGGCCUCCCCUUCCCCUUGGCCUCCAAACCCACAGGUUUGGCCCCCGGCCCCUCAGAUCUGGGCCUCCCCUUCCCCUGGGCCUCCAAACCCUCAGAGCCAGCUCCCGGGCCCCACAGGUCCCAGCCUCCCAUUCCCCUGGGCCUCCAAAUCCUCAGGUUUGGUUUCCGGGACCUCAGGUCUGGGCCUCCCCUUUCCCUAGGCCUCCAAACCCUCAGGUUUGGUCCCCAGGCCCACAGAUCCGGGCCUCCCCUUCCCCUGGGCCUCCAAACCCACAGGUUUGGCCCCCGGGCCCUGAGAUCUGGGCCUCCCCUUCCCCUGGGCCUCCAAACCCUCAGAGCCGGCUCCCGGGGCCCACACGUCCCGGCCUCCCCUUCCCCUGGGCCUCCAAACCCUCAGAGCCGGCUCCCGGCGCCCACAGGUCCCGGCCUCCCCUUCCCCUGGGCCUCCAAAUCCACAGGCUUAGCCCCCGGGGCCCUCAUAUCCGGGCCUCCCCUUCCCCUGGGCCUCCAAACCCUCAGAGCCGGCUCCCGGGGCCCACAGGUCCCGGCCUCCCCUUCUCCUUUGCCUCCAAACCCACAGGCUUAGCCCCCGGGGACCUCAGAUCCGGGCCUCCCCUUCCCCUGGGCCUCCAAAUCCUCAGAGCCGGCUCCCGGCGCCCACACGUCCCGGCCUCCCCUUCCCCUGGUCCUCCAAACCCACAAGUUUGGCCCCCGGGCCCUCAGAUCUGGGCCUCCCCUUCUCCUGGGCCUCCAAACCCACAGGUUUGGCCCCCGGGCCCUCAGAUCUGGGUCUCCCCUUCCCCUGGGCCUCCAAACCCUCAGAGCCGGCUCCCGGGGCCCACAGGUCCCGGCCUCCCCUUCCCCUGGGCCUCCAAACCCUCAGAGCCGGCUCCCGGGGCCCACAGGUCCCGGCCUCCCCUUCCCCUGGGCCUCCAAACCCUCAGAGCCGGCUCCCGGGGCCCACAGGUCCCAGCCUCCCAUUCCCCUGGGCCUCCAAAUCUUCACGUUUGGUCCCCAGGCCCACAGAUCCGGGCCUCCCCUUCCCCUGGGCCUCCAAACCCACAGGUUUGGCCCCCGGGCCCUCAGAUCUGGGCCUCCAAACCCACAGGUUUGGCCCCCGGGCUCUCAGGUCCCGGCCUCCCCUUCCCCUGGGCCUCCAAAACCUCAGAGCCGGCUCCCGGGGCCCACAGGUCCCGGCCUCCCCUUCCCCUGGGCCUCCAAACCCACAGGCUUAGCCCCCGGGGCCCUCAGAUCCGGGCCUCCCCUUCCCCUGGGCCUCCAAACCCUCAGAGCCAGCUCCCGGGGCCCACAGGUCCCAGCCUCCCCUUCCCCUGGGCCUCCAAACCCUCAGAGCCGGCUCCCGGGGCCCACAGGUCCCGACCUCCCCUUCCCUUUGGCCUCCAAACCCACAGGCUUAGCCCCCGGGGCCCUCAGAUCUGGGCCUCCCCUUCUCCUGGGCCUCCAAACCCUCAGAGCUGGCUCCCUGUGCCCACAGGUCCCGACCUCCCCUUCCCCUGGGCCUCCAAACCCACAGGUUUGGCCCCCGGCCCCUCAGAUCUGGGCCUCCUCUUCCCCUGGGCCUCCAAACCCACAGGUUUGGCCCCCGGGCCCUCAGAUCUGGGCCUCCAAACCCAUAGGUUUGGCCCCCGGGCCCUCAGAUCCGGGCCUCCCCUUCCCCUGGGCCUCCAAACCCUCAGAUCCGGCUCCCGCGGCCCACAGGUCCCAGCCUCCCCUUCCCCUGGACCUCCAAACCCUCAGAGCUGGCUCCUGGGGCCCUCAGAUCCGGGCCUCCUCUUCCCCUGGGCCUCCAAACCCACAGGUUUGGCCCCCGGCUCCUCAGAUCUGGACCUCCCCUUACCCUGGGCCUCCAAACCCUCAGAGCCUGCUCCCGGGGCCCACAGGUCCCAGCCUCCCAUUCCCCUGGGCCUCCAAAUCCUCAGUUUUGGUCCCCGGCACCUCAGGUCUGGGCCUUCCCUUUCCCUAGGCCUCCAAACCCUCAGGUCUGGUCCCCAGGUCCACAGAUCUGGGCCUCCCCUUCCCCUGGGCCUCCAUACCCUCAGGUUUGGCCCCCGGGCCCUCAGAUAUGGGCCUCCCCUUCCCCUGGGCCUCCAAACCCACAGGCUUAGCCCCCGGGGCCCUCAGAUCCGGGCCUCCCCUUCCCCUGGGACUCCAAACCCUCAGAGCCAGCUCCCGGGGCCCACAGGUCCCAGCCUCCCCUUCCCCUGGGCCUCCAAACCCUCAGAGCCGGCUCCCGGGGCCCACAGGUCCCAGCCUCCCCUUCCCCUGGGCCUCCAAACCCUCAGAGCCGGCUCCCGGGGCCCACAGGUCCCGACCUCCCCUUCCCCUUGGCCUCCAAACCCACAGUAUUGGCCUCCGGGCCCUCAGAGCCGGGCCUCCCCUUCCCCUGGGCCUCCAAACCCUCAGAGCUAGAUCCCGGGGCCCACAGGUCCCAGCCUCCCUUUCCCCUGGGCCUCCAAACCCUCACAGCUGGCUCCCUGGGCCC